UUGCACGCAGCGUUUGAGAAAAUUUAAAGAAUUCUUGCGCGCAUUUGCGUCUUAUCACUUGAGACAUUUCAAGAAGCUAAAUGAAACGCCUGCUUGCUUAUCUUGAUGUUCUUGAAAAUUUCGAAGCGUUUUAUUAAUGCUGAGGUUACUUCAUUGUAAGAUAGCGCGAAAUACGUGCGAAGAUAUUUGAUGAACAAUACAUUUGAUGAACAAGACUAUGUACGGAGCAAGAAGAGUUCUAUUGUUGUUAAGGCGGAGAGCGUGCGAGAAAAAACUGGUAUCGAAGGCAAUUGUGUGCUGCACCCUGAGAGUAAAAUUUAACGAUCUUUAGACAGUGCUUGUUUCCUGUUGAAAGAUUAGAAGUAGCAAUACCAGCUCAAAUUUUAAACCAAUACAAGAUGCCAUUUCGUGCAAUCGUGGAAGCGAAUUUCUAACGAAAUGAGGAAUGAUUAAAAUAUCUAGCCUUGCGAUCGAAAAUAGGCAAUACAUAUGAAAUCGUGUAA